rnacentral:rRNA from 1 species
AGUGAACGCUGGCGGUAGGCCUAACACAUGCAAGUCGAACGGCAGCACAGUAAGAGCUUGCUCUUACGGGUGGCGAGUGGCGGACGGGUGAGGAAUACAUCGGAAUCUACUUUUUCGUGGGGGAUAACGUAGGGAAACUUACGCUAAUACCGCAUACGACCUACGGGUGAAAGCAGGGGAUCUUCGGACCUUGCGCGAUUGAAUGAGCCGAUGUCGGAUUAGCUAGUUGGCGGGGUAAAGGCCCACCAAGGCGACGAUCCGUAGCUGGUCUGAGAGGAUGAUCAGACACACUGGAACUGAGACACGGUCCAGACUCCUACGGGAGGCAGCAGUGGGGAAUAUUGGACAAUGGGAGCAAGCCUGAUCCAGCCAUACCGCGUGGGUGAAGAAGGCCUUCGGGUUGUAAAGCCCUUUUGUUGGGAAAGAAAAGCAGCAGGUUAAUACCCCGCUGUUCUGACGGUACCCAAAGAAUAAGCACCGGCUAACUUCGUG